rnacentral:rRNA from 1 species
CCUACGGGAGGCAGCAGUGAGGAAUAUUGGUCAAUGGGAGAGAUCCUGAACCAGCCAAGCCGCGUGAGGGAAGACGGCCCUAUGGGUUGUAAACCUCUUUUGUCGGAGAACAAAACCCGGGACGUGUCCCGGACUGCGUGUAUCCGAAGAAAAAGCAUCGGCUAAUUCCGUGCCAGCAGCCGCGGUAAUACGGAGGAUGCGAGCGUUAUCCGGAUUUAUGGGGUUUAAAGGGUGCGUAGGCGGUCCGUUAAGUCAGCGGUAAAAUUGCGGGGCUCAACCCCGUCGAGCCGUUGAAACUGGCAGGCUUGAGUGGGCGAGAAGUACGCGGAAUGCGCGGUGUAGCGGUGAAAUGCAUAGAUAUCGCGCAGAACUCCGAUUGCGAAGGCAGCGUACCGGCGCCAGACUGACGCUGAGGCACGAAGGCGUGGGGAUCGAACAGGAUUAGAUACCCGGGUAGUC